rnacentral:rRNA from 1 species
AUUGAACGCUGGCGGCAGGCCUAACACAUGCAAGUCGAGCGAGCGGCGGACGGGUGAGUAAUGUAUGGGAAUCUGCCCGAUCUAGGGGGAUAACUACUGGAAACGGUGGCUAAUACCGCAUACUAUCGGAUGAACCCAGAGGGGAUUAGCUAGUAGGUGGGGUAAAGGCUCACCUAGGCGACGAUCUCUCGCUGGUCUGAGAGGAUGAUCAGCCACACUGGGACUGAGACACGGCCCAGACUCCUACGGGAGGCAGCAGUGGGGAAUAUUGGACAAUGGGCGAAAGCCUGACGGAGCCACGCCGCGUGUAUGAAGAAGGUCUUAGGAUUGUAAAGCACUUUUAGUGGGGAGGCGUUACCCGAAGAAGAAGCAACGGCUAACUCCGUGCCAGCCGCCGCGGUAAUAC